AUAUAAUGAUUUUAGGGAAAAAAUUCAUAGACCUCAGCUUGAAAGACUUGAAAACUCCUGCAAAAUUUAGGUUUUCAUGUACCUCCUUUUAAAAGAUAUUCUGUAAAUGUCCCAAUACAUCCGUUGGUUCCCCAGAAAUACCUUCUUCUAUUUCACUAAUUAAAUCAUCUGUGUGUGGGUCCUCCUCAAUGGGACAAGAAAAGCAUUUAUUAGGUGUUUAAUAUGUGCCAGGCACUAUGGGUUUUCCAAAGAUUAUCUUACUUGAACCAAGAAAAUUCAGAACUCCAGAAUUUCCUCAAACAGUAGAAUAAAUUUACCAAGGGGGAACAUGGGGCAAUAUUUCAUCCUCUUAAUCUUACAGUUAUCUACAAGGAAGGAUAAGGGCCCUUGAUGGAGCAUUCCCAAGGUUUGCCUAAAUUUCAGCUGUCUUCUAUUUCCUGUUUCUUCACAGAAGGCUUGUCUAAUAACUGAUAAUAAAAAUAAAUAAUAAUAAUGAACUAAAAAUAAAUAAUGAAGAUAAAAAUAGUCUUAUUUGUUUACUUUCUCUUGCUUUUUUCUUUUCUUUUUUCUUUAUCUCUUUCUUUUUAUUUUUCUUUAACUUUUUUAUAUCCUCUUUCUCUGCUUCUUCUAUCUCUCUUCAUCUUUUUAUUUUCUUUCUCUGCUUCUUCAAUUUCUCUAUUUCUUUCUCUUUUUCUUUUCUUAUCUCUUUUUCAUUCUUCUUUAUCUUUUUCUAUCUUCUUUCUCUUUCUCUGCUUCUUCUCUCCCUCUAUUUCUUUCUCUCUUUCUUUUUCAUUUUUCUUUCUUUUUUCUAUCUUCUUUCUCUGCUUCUUCUAUCUCUCUAUCUCUCUCUUUUUCUUUAUCUUUCUUUUUCAUUUUUCAUUUUUCUUUCUUCUUUCUCUGCUUCUUCUCUCUCCCUCUAUUUCUUUCUCUCUUUCUUUUUCAUUUUUCUUUCAUUUUUCUAUCUUCUUUCUCUGCUUCUUCUCUCUCUUUUUCUUUAUCUUUCUUUUUCAUUUUUCAUUUUUCUUUCUUCUUUCUCUGCUUCUUCUAUCUCCUUCCAUUUCUUUCUCAUCUUUCUUUAACUUUUUUCCUAUCUUCUUUUUCUUUAUCUGCUUCUUCUAUCUUUCUAUUUCUUCCUCCAUCUCUCUUUGCUUUUUUCUCUUUUCCAGUUUAAAGAUUAGAUAUUUCUUUCUCUUUUUUUUUGUGGAGCAGGGUAUACCAACUGGCAUGGGCUGUAUUAAAAUCAGGAGAAAGCCCAAUCCCAAGGCCUCUCGGAAGGCAGGCUUUCUUGUUAAUAUGCACUAA
rnacentral:lncRNA from 1 species